CCCUUAGAUGUCCUGGGCCGCACGCGCGUUACACUGAUGCAUUCAACGAGCUUAUAACCUUGGCCGAGAGGCCUGGGCAAUCUUGUUAACGUGCAUCGUGAUAGGGAUAGAUUAUUGAAAUUAUUAAUCUUGAACGAGGAAUUCCUAGUAAACGCAGAUCAUCAAUCUGCAUUGAUUACGUCCCUGCCCUUUGUACACACCGCCCGUCGCACCUACCGAUUGGAUGGUCCGGUGAAGCCUCGGGAUUGUGGUUCUUGCCGCUUUAUUGUGGCGUGACCGCGAGAACUUGUCUACACCUUAUCAUCUAGAGGAAGGUGAAGUCGUAACA
rnacentral:rRNA from 1 species